UUACAUCAGACGUGGUUUCAAAGCUGAAGUGCUGCAAAGGAUCUCAGGUUGACGCUAAAUGUCUCUUGUCCCCUGCGGGUGGAUUGCCUUCUUUAUGGGAGGGACCUGUGCCCUGUGGCUUCCAAGACAAAGACUUUCCUUUCUGCUGGGAAGCUGAGCUGUGUGCUGGCUCUCCGAGACACCGAUAAUUCUUGGAUUGGAAUGCCGUCUUUCCAGGGAUCCAGGAAGCCCAUGCCCAGGAGCCUCAGGGUCAGGGUGACUGCCCAGCCUCCUCAGACUGCAGAAACCUUUGGAUCCUCCCGCCUGCUGGAGGCUGCUCCGGAAUAAAGUCACCCUGAUGAACAGAGCUUAAGUUACAGUGUUGCAGUAGGAGAUUCAGGAGAAUCCACUUUGAAAGCGUCUCCCAAUUGAUAAUUCCAGGUUCGCUGAGCUCUAGAGGUACACUCAGCUCAACUUCAGACCAAUAGAAGACGCUAAAUGUGACAUUGUGGUUGAGAAACCAGCCUACUUCAUGAAAUUGGAUGCAGGUGUUAACAUGUAUCACCACUUCUGCGACUUCCUGAACCUGUACCUCACUCAGCACGUGAACAACUCCUUCAGCACCGACGUGUACGUCGUGAUGUGGGACACGGUGCGUAGGCUGCCUCGCUUCCGCUCUGGCCUUGCUCCUCACAUCUGUGGCUCCGCGUGGUGAACGGGACUCUCUAAGGCACCACAUUCAAAUAUACACGCACGCACACACGUCCACGGGCGUGCAGGUGAGCGGGGGCGUGUCUGUGUGUGUAUGCACAUGUUCAGAUGGACACAUAGGUAGGCUUACAUUUCGCUCUGGGAACUUGAGAGGGGGGCAGUGGAAGAGUUCCCUCCCCGUGUGGGCAGGGGGUGCUCCGCAGACCAAACCUGGCUCUCCCUGACCUCGGCGCCCCGCGGCCCGGGGGAGCUGCCCCUGCGUGCAGCUGUGCUGCGUGGAUGAGCUCACUACAGCGCGGGCCCGAGGCCUGCACAUCAGCACCGCACCUGCUUUUUGCUCUUUGUUUUUACUGCUGUCUUUUUUCUUUCUUCUCUCUCUUUUCCUGCCUUUAUUCUUUCAAUGCUGACCCCUCCACCUGCCAAGGUCACCCCCCAAGAGUUGCUCCCGUGCACCCGGCUGUGAAAUAGGACAGUUGUCAUCUCUACCCAAGUGUCAUUUUGAGAAUAAACCAUGUGGUGUAUGAACAGUCACAAUGCCCGACACAGCACCUGGGCUCCGAAUGUCGCUCUGACAAAGACAGU